rnacentral:lncRNA from 1 species
CCGACAUUCCGGGCCUUGAUCACGAGCCUCCUUUGCGUACAUGCUACUUCGGGGCAUUCCUCGAAGAAAUCAAUACAAAUCUUUCGGGGUAUUCCCCUGUCAAAUGAGUACAAUUUAAACUUUUCGUGCAAUAAAGUAGAAAGUACCAUUCACGCACAUAUUCAAACAGUCCAACAAAUCGUUAUUCCUAAAUUUGCUUACCCAACUUAUUGCUUGCCUAACAAUCCACGGCCUAAAACAUGAUACUAUCAAGCUUAACGUAGUCGACGUUCAUUCCGAAUCAGGCAAUCAUGGCUGAACCAACAUAAAUCAACGUUUGCUUUUAAUAAUUUUCGAUCUUUUUCCCCAAAAUCCAACUUAACCCCAAAUCAACUACGUGAUUAACAUACUUCACACUAGGAUUAACAAUCAGAUAAUGGCGAGUAAAAUCACUUCAACCAAAUUCAACCAAAAAUCACACCAUUCAAAAAUAUUCACGAAAAAGAAAGAUAAGAGAUAUAGAAUUGGACCUCGAUUCAAAGGUUUUGAAAUUCAAUAAUACUUCAAUGAGAGAACAGAAUCCUCGUCGAAGAACCUCGAUUCGAAACCUUCGUUCGAACCCCAACAGAUUGACAAGACCAAAAUCAACAGAAAAAUGUCAAGACGAACACCAAAUCGAAUUAAAUCCAAAAAAAUAGGACGAACAAACCUGAAACCAGUAUUCUCAGCUCUAAAUCCUAAAACUAAAUCGAAUCUUACCAAAACUGGAAUCUAGAACGAGAUUUUUGUAUCCGUUUGAGCUGCGGAUGGAAUUCCGACGAGAUUUAAGCUAGAAAAUGAAGGGGAGAAUGGCAUUCCGACGUGAGUUUAGUCGGAGUAAAGCUGGUGACGCUGUUCUCUGUAGGUUUUUCUGGAUUUCUCUCUCUCCCCGAUUUGCUGGCUGCUUCAAUCUUACUCUUAUUCUCUCUUUCUCGCUCAGUCUCUCUCUAUCGCCUCUCUUUUUAUCUUCUUCUCCGAUCCUCUCUAUUUUGUUUCAAUUUUUCUCUACCCGUUCUCCAUCUCUCCAAAAUUUUAAUCGAGGCCUGUCUAGGCGUGGCUAUAUGUAUUCAGGAAUAGAGAAAGUUUGUGUAUGUACUAUUUUCAGUGACGAUUCUGUGAUAUCUAUUUUCUAGUGUGUGCAGGUAUGUGUGUAGAUGAUGAAGAUGAAGCAAAAGAAAAAAAUCCCUAAAAAAUGGCCUCUUCUGUGUGCCUUUUGGUCAAGAUGAUGAUCCAGCCCCCCUAUGUAUAUAUCUCUGUAUUUAUGUGAUGAUUCCCCCUAUUUUUGAUAGUGGUGGGCCUUCAGUGAGUCUUUUUUUGUAUGUAUCCUGUGAAAGAGGGAUAGUAUGUAGGGGUAGGGGUUAGGUGGGGUAGGUGGUGAGGUGGGGUAUGUGAGGUAUUAAAAUUUAAUAGGGAGGGGUUGUUAGAUUAAGAUAAAAUUAGUUAGGGGUUAUUAUUUUUGUUAUUUAAUGGAGGGAUAAUUACAUGGGUGAGGGUGCAUGAUAAUGUGAGCUAAAAAUGAAUAAAAUUGUACUUCGGGAGGGACAAAAUUAGGUGUGUACAUCAUGCCCCUUUUUGGGUGUAAACACCGAGUGUUUUCAAAAAAAAAAAAGUAGACAACGAGAUCAAAUUUUGACCCGACCAUUAUUCAAAGGAAGAAAAUAGAAGGAAGAAGGACUACCGAGUUGGAGGGUCGUGUGAGGUCCUAUCAAGGUUCUGGUCCACGGCUCUGUCAUUACAUCAAAAAUUAAAAUUACAAGUUAAAAAUAAAUAAAAUUACAAAACUCUAUCUAUGCAGCUUUCCUUGACUCCUGACUCGCUACUUCAUCACCCUAUUCUUCAGGCGGGCUCUUGACUUGCAAUUUCUUCAACUUGUUGCUUGCCUUUCAACUUCUUCACCCUGUUCUGCAGGCGGGCUCCUGACUUGCUAUUUUUCAAUCUGUUUAAAUUUCAAUUUCUUCACCUUGUUGCUUAGUUUUCCAUUUAUUCGCCCUGUGCUUCGGGCAGGCUCCUGAAAUCACAUCAAAACUAAAAAGAAAAUUAUCCCAAACAAAUAUUAUUAUAAAGAGAAAUUCCAUUUAUUUGCCAGAAAAGUAAAGUUUCAAAAACAGAAAUUGAAUUUUUGCCCCAGUUUAUCAUCAGAAGACUUUUGGAAAAGUCACAUCAUACCUACUUGCAUGUUGCAAUGUUGAAUUAAGACUCUGACUAAGAAAUUCAUCUCUUAAUAGUAAAAUCAAAUAACCAAGACUAGGAAGUGCAUCUCCUAAGAAUUAAAGUGAGGGAUUCUAACUAUAAAGUGUGUCUUCUAGAGAUACAAGUUUAAGCUAAAAAGUGUGCCGCCUGACAAAUGAAAACUAGCAAGGAAGUGUGUCUCCUUAGGAUUAAGUGCGAUAACUCGACUAGAAAGUGCAUCUUCUAGGAAUCAAGACUUAAGUUAGAAAGUGCAUCACCUAAAAAGCAAAAUUCGAAUAAUCAAGAAAGUGCAACUCCUUACCAAUGUUGCUUGAAUUAUCAAAAUAAGGAAGUGCAUUUCCUUACCAAUGCCUCUUGAAUUACUCAAACAAGGAAGUGCGUUUCCUUACAAAUGUUUCUUCAAUUGCCCAAACCAGGAAGUGUCUCCUUAAAAAUGUUGCUUUAAUUACCCCAAACAAGGAAGUAUGUCUCCUUAUCAAAUGUCAUUUGAAUUACCCAAACAAGAAAGUGCAUCUCCUUAUAAAUAUCACAUGAAUUACCCAACAAGGAAGUGCGUCUCCUUACAAAUAUUGCUUGAAUUACCAAACAAGGAAGUGCGUCUCCUUACAAAUGUUGCUGAAAUUAUCCGAACAAGGAAGUGCGUCUCCUUACAAAUGUUGCUGGAAUUACCCAAACAAGGAAGUGCAUCUUCUUACAAAUGCCGAUCGAAUUAUCAAACAAGGAAGUGUGUCUCCUUUGGAAGUGCGUCUCCUUAUGAUAGCGCUUGAAUUAACAAAAUAAAAAAGUAUGUCUCCUUACAAAUAUUGCUUGAAUUAUCAAAACAAAGAAGUACGUUCCCUUAUAAAUGUUGUUGGAAUUAGCCGAACUAGGAAGUGCGUCUCCUUACAAAUGUUGCUGGAAUUACCCGAACAAGGAAGUGCGUCUCCUUACGAGUGCCAAUCGAAUUACCAAACAAGGAAGUGCGUCUCCUUACAAAUGUUGCUUGAAUUAUAAAACAAGAAAGUGCAUCUCCGUAUAAAUGUUUGCUUGAAUUCCCCACACAAGGAAAUGCAUCUUCUUACAAAUACCGCUUGAAUUAUCAGAAAAGAAAGUGUGUUUUCUCACAAAUAUUGCUGGAUUUACCAAAUAAGGAAGUGCGUCUCCUUACAAAUAUUGCUCGAAUUUCCCACACAAGGAUUAUCAUAAGGCAGUAUUUCAUUUUUGAAAGCGUGGUCCCAUUUUUCAGGAGGAACCCGAACAAAAAGUAAAAUCAUUUUUUAAAAGGAUCCUGAACAGAAAGUAAAAUCUUAUUUUCGGGAGGGUCCUGAACAGAAAGUAACUUCCAUUUUCAGGAGGGUCCUAAACAGAAAGUAAAAUCCUAUUUUUCAGGAGGGUCCUGAACAUAAAGUAAAAUCCUAUUUUUCAGGAGGGUCCUGAACAUAAAAUAAAGUCCCAUUUUUCAGGAGGGUCCUGAACAAAAAGUAAAAUCUCAUUUUUUAGGAGGGUCCUGAACAGAAAGUAGAAUCCCAUUUUUCAGGAGGGUCCUGAACANNNNNNNNNNNNNNNNNNNNNNNNNNNNNNNNNNNNNNNNNNNNNNNNNNNNNNNNNNNNNNNNNNNNNNNNNNNNNNNNNNNNNNNNNNNNNNNNNNNNNNNNNNNNNNNNNNNNNNNNNNNNNNNNNNNNNNNNNNNNNNNNNNNNNNNNNNNNNNNNNNNNNNNNNNNNNNNNNNNNNNNNNNNNNNNNNNNNNNNNNNNNAUUUUUCAGGAGGGUCCUGAAUAGAAAGUAAAAUCCCACGGAUGUGCAUUUCCAAUGGUAGCUGAAUUAAGUGAAGCGAAUCUACCCCUAUUUCAACAAAGAAAAUUUGUCAGUUAAAAACUUAGUGGUAGCUUGCAGCACUUGGCUUUCUAGGCAUUUGCUCUAGUGUUCAUUCCCUUCAUUUUAUUUCAGAUUGCUGGCAUUUGCCCCUGCUUUGUCGUGUCAUUGACCCAAACUCAGAUUAUUAAGAGUGACUCUAAAAUAAACACAGUAUCUCUGCUUUGUCAUGCUUCUCAGAUAAAUCCUUCAAACCUUGGUAUUUUCAUAAGUUCCCCAGCUUGUCUGUUGACAGCUUUCUGCAUGCCUUCUUCAACUCAUAAUUAUGUCUUUUUCAGAUGCUGACUUUGUCUGGCAUUGUGCAAUUGAAGAAGCUGGUAGCCAGUUUUGAAAUCUUUUCUCACUUGUUUUGAUAUGGACUUGACUCAAAAACAAGAGAAAAAUAACAAUGACUUUUAUUUGGACCACUGACUCAAGAAAACAAAAUAAAAUAAAGAGAAGAAAGAAAAAACAAUGAGUGUCCCCAUUUGAAACAAAGAAAUGAAAAAUUUUCUAAAAAUGACAGUCAAAUCUAAUGAUUAUGCCAUGCAUUUUGGAUUAAACUACCUAAUCUUUCUAUUCAACUUUCUACCAAUUGUUGUUGAGUUAAUGACCUUGAAAAUGAGUUGUUUUCUUAGACCAAUUGCAUUCAGACCACAUUUGGCUAGUGACACUUUGAAGGGUCUUUCCCUCAGCUCACCAUUGUCUUAUGGCGUCUGUGAGGGUUUUUACUAAUGAGACUCUCUUAUUCUCAUUUCUACCAACUAACAAUCGUCUCACGGUGCCCGUGGUGGUUUUCACCAAUAAGACUCUCUCAUUUUUAAUUCUUUCUUAAUUCCUUGUGCUAAGAAAGACUGGUAGUUCCUAAAUGCAUCAUCAUAUCCCUUGCAUGCUUUGCCUUAACAUCCCCAAAGAUUGAUCUGAAGGUCUUUUCUUUGGUUGUAACUUGGCUUUUGAAUAGGGUUAGAAAGAAAGGAUGGCGUGAGGCCCAAACGACACUUGAAGUGGGUUAGGACUUACAACUUUUGGAAUCGGCUCAAACAAUGAGGAUUAACUCAUACCCCAGUUUCUUUUGACUGGGUGAUUCUAAGUUGUUUAUUUGGUUGGACCGAGCCCUUAGUAGGGCAGUCUACGUAUCUCAUCCCCGAGAGAGGAGAAUCAGGUCAUGCGUAGUUCUGGCAGCUUGUUCUUUCACUUGAUUCUAAUUUUUUUCUUUUGUUGACUCUUUGCUCUUUGGAUUUUUCUGACUCUCUUUGUCUUGACACUUUUUUUUCUUUUCGGACAUAUUUUUUUUUCUUCUCUUUUUUUUUGAACUUUUUUUGAAUCUAUUAUUUUGCUCGAUACUUUUCUUUUGAGCUUUGCUAACUAUAUUGAUUCCAAAAGAGUAAAAUAGGACUAAAGCUCAAAUGGGGAAAACAAAUGAUGACAUGAUGUUUGGAUGGCAGAAUGAAAUACCUUCAUCAUAUCAAUCCUUAAAAAUGCAAGUACAUAUCAUGUAAUAUGAAAGUGAGAGAUGAAGAUCAUUUGCGACAACUUUUUAAGCAGAUUGAGUCUGUGCGUCACUACUUCUUCUACAAACUCAGCCUUUGUUAUACAUUCCUCACAUUGAAUGACUCAUGCUUUCGUGGAGCUACUUAUUUUCUUUUUUCUCUUGAUAUAAAGAUCACACGUCCACUAUUUGACCUAAUUGGGACUUGCCUUUCGAUCGAUGACCAAGUUGGUCUUGUGAUUCUCAAAAUAAUUGCCUUAACUUUUCACCAAAUGUCUCAGCACUCUAUCUAUUUUCUCAUAUGCUCUCUUUUUCUAAUUUUAACCCUCUGAUUCAAUGUUCAUGCUUAAACUGGAUUUUAAGAUCUGAUUGAAAAUUUCACUAGCAUGUCAUAUCACUAGAGUCAACACAAAAUGUACUAUGUAAAGAAAACAAACAUACAACACAUAUUUAAAACACAAAGGAAAAUGAGACACUUCAUUUAGUCGAAACAAAAGAUAGAAGGGUUUGAACAUAAACAACAAAAGGACAAAACAAGACAGAUCCCGAACUACAACCUUGAAAUAAUUCGGAGAACAAAAAAUAAAACAAAAUAAGCUACCAAACCCCUUCCUAGUAAGGAGAUGGGUGACUUCUCAAUUGCUCAGCCUGACAACUUAGCCACUGAUUUCCAUAUCAGCAUGACUAGAGCUUCCCUCACUGUCAAUGUUCUGCACCAUGAUUGAUUUAUCUUGAAUCAUCUUUUCAAUUUCUCUUUCAACUUAGUCACUGGUUUUCAUAUCAGUAUGACUAGAACUUCCACCAUGAUCAGACAUAUUACCUUCAACAAAUAAGUUUUGGGUCCUCAUGUUUAACUCAUUGCUUCCCACAUAUUGUGCAGUACCAUGUGCUGGCGAAGAAUUCUGCGGGAUGGGUGAGGUGCCAAUGUUUUCUACCACAAUCAAUUUUUCUUGAAUCAUCCUUUCUAUUUCUCUUUUCAAAGCACGAUAAUCCUCAAUACUGUGACGAUGAGCAUCAGAAUAGUAUGCACAUCAUACAUUAGGAUCAAAACUUCUUGAAUAUGGGUCAGGAGUAUACCCAAGGAGAGGAGUGAUUAUGUCCUGCUGUACCAAUCUCUAGAAUAAACUAGCAUACGACUCUCCAAUGGGUGUGAAGCUAUCCCUCGACUUCUGUCUUAUUUCAUUAUUUGGCUUAAAUUGAAAAUCAGGCCUAGAAAGGCUUCUGUAUGUAUGUGGAGUUGGAGGAUGACUCGGCAGAGUUGGCGCACACCAGUGUGGGUAAGAUGGAGGUUGAACAUAAGGUUACGCAUUAUACACUUGAUAUGGAGGUUGGGAAUGGGAUAUAAUGGAUUUUGGUAAAGAUUCUGUGGAGCUUGGGCAUAAACUUGGGUUUGAGCCUGUGGGCAACGAUGGUGUGGUCCUCUUGCCCAUGUCUGUUGUCCAACAGCAAUGGCAGAUGCAUCUUCCUCAUUCUUCUUUCCUCCCACACUUUCUAAACCUUUUUGAAUUGCUUGAGUAGUCGUUUUCAAUGUUGUAAAACUCACAAUGCGACCAAUCUUAAUUUCAUCCUCUAUCAUCUCCCCCAUUUUGAGGACCUCAAUAAAUGGCUUGCCUAAUGCAGGUAACAGGUGUUUAUAAUAUGUUUCAUCCUACUCUUGAAUAAACACCUCCACUAACUUACUUUUUUUCAUUGGCGGUUUCACCCUAGCAACUUAUUCACGCCAUCUAAUCGCAUACUCUCUGAAAGUUUUAGUACUCUUUUUCUUCAUAUUAGUUAAGGAUUUCUCGUCAGGAAUCAACUCCAUAUUGUAUUGAAAUUGUUGCACGAAUUCAUUAGCCAGGUCAUCCCAGCUAUUCCACUUGUCGAUGUCUUGGUCAACAAAUCAUUCUGAAGCUAGACCUGAAAGACGCUCACCAAAAUAUGCCAUGAGUAAUUCUUCCUUCCCUCCAGCGCCCCUUAGUUGGUUGCAAUAGUGUCUCAAAUGUGCUACAGGAUCGUCAUGUCCAUCAUACUUCUCAAACUUCGGCAUUUUAAAACCAAGAGGAAGAUGUACACCUGGGAACAUGCACAGAUCUUUAUAUAAGACACUUUUGUACCCCCCAAGUCCUUGCAAGUUUUUCAUAGUCAGUUUCAAACUUCUUAAUUUUCUGGCUAUUUCCUCUUGUUCUUCUGUCAUAACAGGCUUCUCAGUGUUAGGAGGAAAUUCAGGCGGUUGAGGGCAAUCGUAAGGACCAGUCGACUUAAAUGUGGGCUCGGGAGCAUAACGAUGAUCACUAAGAAUAUUCAAUAUAGGGUCGCUUGUAGAGUGAGGAAUCACAACCGUUGGAUUGACAUUAAAAGUAGGAGCUUCAGACCAGAGUAGGGCUAAAAAAGCAUGAAUAGCAGGCGGAGCCGACCAUGUGGUAAUUUUGUAUUGAGGAGUGAGGUUAUGAAUAUUGGAAGUGUUUGGAUACUGUUGCCCCGGAGUAGGUCCUGAUGUAUGUUGUGGCGUGUCGACCAAAAUAGGAAAUUGUGCAUGUGACACUGGAGGCAAACUAGAAAGAUAUUCCAGAUUAUUUGCUGGAAAUGGAGAAGGCGGCAACCUAUUAGCCCAAGCUCGAUGCAUUUCUAUCAUUUGUUGUCUCAAUUUCCGAAUCUCUUCAUUAGCUCAUACAUUCUCAUUCCCCAAACUCCCUAUCUGAUUAGUGAUAACAAACUUGGUAUCCUUGUUGCCCAUAACUUUCACUGUGACUUGGAGCAAUAUGGAGGACCAGCCAAAAUGCCACAAAUCAACCACCUUAAACUAACUGGACAAGACAUAGCAAAUGCGUUAGAGUUCAACGAUUUUUCAAAACCAGUUCUUCUUUUUUUUUCUUGAAAAAAAUCACCGAACCCUAGAAGGGCGCCUACGUAUCUCACCCCCGAAAGGGGAGAAUCAGGUGUGCGUAGUUCGUGAAGUCAUGCCAAAAUGGCCAAUUGAACUCUUUUUCUUUUUUUUUUCCUCGAAACUUUAAGAAGAAAAGAAAAUAACAAUUUGUCAAAAGAAUUGACGAAAAUAUUUUUGAAUUUUUUAGCUUUAACAUCCCCAUACAAAGUGAAAUCUAUGAUUACCAAAGAAAAUCUUUUUUCUUCUUUUUUUUUCAACAAUUUCUUACCUACACACUUUGCUUCUAACUCAUGUUUUUGCCCAAACCAGUCGGUCAAAUAACCCUGUUACCCUCAAAAAUACAACAUUUAGCACGUAGGGAUGCCUUAGAGGUGAGUCUCCUACAAAGGGCCAAAUGGGCCCUGCUAGGUCUUCAAUAUGAUGCACAUAAGCAUGACCUAAAGACUGACCUACGUUGGGGUUCACUAACAAGGCUGUUCGGGGGAGCAUAUGGUCGAUAGUGGCUGCUUAGCUUUCCACCUACUCCAUACAUCCAACGGCUCCCUCCCCUAAAAUAAAGGUGACUCAACUAGAGUUCGUGCGCAUGGCGUGCACUCCGAGACUUGUUGCAAAAAUAAUGACUCGGGUUAUGCACAUGAUGUCAGAUAUAAAAGCGUUAACACAUAGGAUAAAUACUGUAAACAAAGAGCACGAAAACACACAAAAGUGAAAACACAAACAAAAGUCACAAACAAUACUUAUACACUCGUAAUGCAAACAAAGCCGAUACGACUCCAAAAAAGCUCGAAUUCUGAAAUUGUCCCCAGUAGAGUCGCCAGAGCUGUCACACCCCAUUUUUCAACUCAAAAAAAGAAUCAUUUUAAGGUUCGAAAGGGUUUUUAUUUAAAGUGAUAAAAUGAAGAUUUGUUUAGAAAGGGACCUUUUACAUUCAAAACUCAGAGUCGCCACCUGGCAUAAUCCGGUGUGCCAAGUCACCUUUGAAAAAUCCUUUUCGAAACGGUUUGACUCUAAAAAAAAAUUGAUCCGCGAACAAAGAUUUUGGCUAAGGAAUUCUGUUGAUCGAGGGGAAGGCGUUAGGCACCCCUCGAUCCCGUGGUUCGACCACGGUCGCUUGGUGGGGCGUAUCGGCUAAUUUGACAUUACAAAUGUACAAACCACAUAAACGCACAAAACAAGCAAACAAACAAAUCACAUAAAAUUCAAAACAAACCAAAAUAAUGUUCAAUCCAAAUUAUACAAUCCAAAAUAAAAGAGGUGCUGAAAUAUAAAACCUAUUCUAUUCUAAACUAAUCCUAAACUAAACUCCACCCGACGUUCCGGGCCUUGAUCACGAGCCUCCUUUGCGUACAUACUACUUCGGGGCAUUCCCCGGAUAAAUCAAUACAAAUCUUUCGGGGCAUUCCCCGACCAAAUGAGUACAAUUUAAACUUUUCGUGCAAUAAAAUAGAAAGUACCAUUCACGCACAUAUUCAAACACUCCAACAAAUCGUUAUUCCUAAAUUUUCCUACCCAAUUUAUUGCUUACCUAACAAUCCACGGCCUAAAACAUAAUACUAUCGAACUUAACGUAGUCGACGUUCAUUCCGAAUCAGGCAAUCAUCGUUGAACCAACAUAAAUCAACGUUCGCUUUUAACAAUUUUCGAUCUUUUUCCCCAAAAUCCAACUUAACCCCAAAUCAACUACGUGAUUAACAUACUUCACACAAGGAUUAACAAUCAGCUAACGACGAGUAAAAUCACUUCAACCAAAUUCAACCAAAAAUCACACCAUUCAAAAAUAUUCACGAAAAAAAGAGAUAAGAGAUAUAGAAUUGGACCUCGAUUCAAAGGUUUUGAAAUUCAAUAAUACUUCAAUGAGAGAACAGAAUCCGGUCAAAGAACCUCGAUUCGAAACCUCCGUUCGAACCCCAACAGAUUGACAAGACCAAAAUCAACAGAAAAAUGUCAAGACGAACACCAACUCAAAUUAAAUCCAAAAAAACAGGACGAACAAACCUGAAACCAGUAUUCUCAGCUCUAAACCCCAAAACUAAAUCGAAUCUUACCAAAACUGGAAUCUAGAAUGAGAUUUUUGUAUCCGUUUGAGCUGCGGAUGGAAUUUCGACGAGAUUUGAGCUAGAAAAUGAAGGGGAGAAUGGCGUUCCGACGUGAGUUCGGUCGGAGUGAACCUGGUGACGCUGUUCUCUGUAGGUUUUGCCGGAUUUCCCUCUCUCCCCUAUUUGCUGGCUGCUUCAAUCUUACUCUUAUUCUCUUUUUCUCGCUCAAUCUCUCUCUCUCGUCUCUCUUUUUAUCUUCUUCUCCGAUCCUCUCUAUUUUGUUUCAAUUUCUCUCUACCCGUUCUUCAGCUCUCCAAAUUUCGAUCGGGGCCUGUCUAGGCGUGGCUGUGUGUAUUCAGGAAUAGAGAAAGUUUGUGUAUGUACUAUUUUCAGUGAGGAUUCUGUGAUAUCUAUUUUCUAGUGUGUGCAGGUAUGUGUGUAGAUGAUGAAGAUGAAGCAAAAGAAAAAAAAUCCCCAAAAAAAUGGCCUCUUCUGUGUGCCUUUUGGUCAAGAUGAUGAUCCAGCCCCUCUGUGUAUAUAUCUCUGUAUUUAUGUGAUGAUUCCCCCAAUUUUUUAUAGUGGUGGGCCUCCAAUAAG